rnacentral:lncRNA from 1 species
UAAAUCUAAUCAAUGCCAGCUUCCUCCACUCUCGACGAAAGUGUUUCCUUGUGUUGUUCGUGGCUUGUGUGACAUAGUUGUACAUUAAGCGUCUGUGUUGUCUGAAAUUCUUGAAUUUUGUUGGGCAUGUAAAGUAUGAUUUGUUCACGUUAAUUUGAUAUCAUUCUAGGGCACUCCCAUUGUUUCUAAAGUAUAGUCUUGUUAUGAUCAUCACCUUGUGUCUUUGGCCAGUUCUGUCACUGAUAAUUCUGCACUUGGAACAGUGGAAAAAGCCACCGAUGAUGCUUGUUGCCCAACAUUGGAUUACGAGUGAGCCAAGGGAAAACAUACAACCAUUAGGUAGGAGUAUUGAUCCAAAAUAAGAGAUCAGAAAGCGACUAUCCGAAAAAAGAUGUACAGUGGUCGGGGUAACUGUCCUGCACUUUUUUUUAUCUUAAUAGCACAAAGAAUACCAACAUGCAUACCCAAACAUCCAUCUUUCAACAAGUUUGCUGGACUGCGUUGCUCCCAUCUUGCUUUUGUUCAGCUUCAUUCAUCAUAAGCUUCUGCCGUUCAUUCUCCCUGUCCGCCUCCCAAAUAGAGAAGACGAAAACAAAUUAGCAGAUUAUAGUCGAGGAACACAAUUCAAUAAUGAAACAAUCUUCAACUACAGGCAGUGCCACGAAAAUAGACAUAACAGGACUUACAAUCACUGCCAAGCAGAUAGUCCAUUAUCUAUGAACAUCAACAUGCACAAGAAGAACACAGUAGUAUAACGACCUGCAGUAGCAAAUGAAUCAGCUAAAGAAUGAUAGUUGAUUGCAACAAGAUUACUGUAUCAAAUGAACCAUUAAGGAAGAACAACACCCAUUUCCCAAUUCCGCCCAUAAGAAAAGAAAACAAUUUGACAAGUCAGAAGAGGGCACACGCUUGUUGCCAGCAUCGACAAGAAGAACCCAUCGAUUAACUCUCAACUGAAUAAACAAACCCAGCACAGCAGUUGGAAAUCAAAACAGUGAAAGAAGAUAGGAUCUUUAGGCCAUAAUCGGGAACCGAGUGAUGCAACUGAUCCGUCUUCCUUGAAGCUAGGUUUUGUGAGUCAGAAAAGGAAAGGUGAGGAAAUAAUUUCGGAACCCAGCUGAUCCAACGAUUGGCUCAGCAAUCUGAAAGAGAGAAACCAACAAACAUUCAACAGUUUGAGCCAGCUGUAUUUUAGCACAAUACCGUUUCUGGAUGAGUUGCUCCAAAUUUGGUUGAGAAUUCCUCCUCUGUCACACCUGGAAGAUGAAAAAGGAAAUGAGUGAAUCAAAAUGAAAGAUGAUCCGCUUUGGUUGUGAUGUUGUUCAUAGGAGGGUGACCUUGCCAUUGUCAGCGAAUGAAGAAUACAAAGUGAUGCAAGGAAAAAUACAAAUACUGCAGUGCCGUGAUUGAACAAGGGCUAUGGCCGUUUUAAGUACUUCCGUGUUUGCAGACGUCUAAAGGCUUUAAUUUGUUGUUCAGUGACAUGAUUAGCCACUAUAUAUAAUUCCAGCU